rnacentral:tRNA from 1 species
GGCGGACUGGACCGGGCGGGUCGGGGUCGUGCGGCUGGCGGCCGCAGCCGACGAGGAGACCGCGGUCCGGGCCGCGCCCGCGC